UACGUAGGGGGCAAGCGUUGUCCGGAAUCAUUGGGCGUAAAGAGCGCGUAGGCGGUCCGGUAAGUCGGUUGUGAAAACUGGGGGCUCAACCCUCAGAGGCCGACCGAUACUGUCGGGCUAGAGUCCGGAAGAGGCGAGUGGAAUUCCUGGUGUAGCGGUGAAAUGCGCAGAUAUCAGGAGGAACACCAAUGGCGAAGGCAGCUCGCUGGGACGGUACUGACGCU
rnacentral:rRNA from 1 species